CUGCGCGCUUCCGGCACCCACAGUCGGGUUCCAGGUUCCACCGUGGCGCUCCAGAGCGCCGCGCUUCUCGGGCGCACCUCUUCUCUGCCCUCUGUCACCUCAUACCCGUCAGUCCGCUCAGGACUGAUGAACCAAGUACUUUCUGAUGGAGACCGAGUUGGUCGAUGAGGCAGAGCUCAGGGGUUACCUAGUUGGGGCCAGGGUAAGGGAACAAAUGGAAAGAGCGGUUCGUAAAUCUUUAAACAGCUCUUAGAGGUUAUUUGCAAGAAUAAUUCCUAAGCAUCGGAAAUGCUGGGACAUUCUUGUGUGGGAGAAGUGUGCACACAACAAACAUAUCUUUCAGAAAGUCGAAAUGAGAUAGAUGAGAGAGGGUAGUAAAUAUAAAGUAGCAAUGGCAGGUUGCAAUGAAGAUACCGGGGCUUAGUUAAGCAAAGCAGUCGUGUUAAGGAAGACUAUUACGGCAUUAUUACUCUUCGACAAGGUGCAUAGCUUUUCCCAUUGAUAAUGGGAAAUGGUUAUGUCUCUGUGUUAGUGCGCAAGCAUUAUGCUCAAGGAGGAGAAAAGUUUAGCAUAAAAAGCCCAUGGAGUUUUAGACUUCAACCGAAUUCUUCCCCAAGUGCAUCAUCUUAGAAUAUAAAACACAGUCCUGGAUGACUGUAACCCCCAAAUUCAAGAAAAGGCAAAUUCAGAAAAUAGGUAAAUUCAAAAAAGUUUGUAGUCUCAUGCUAUUAAAUUUUUUCUGUGUGCUCAUAUAUUGCUCCCUUCCCCAAAGUUUACAACUAACCAGAUUUUCAAUGGCUCUAGCACCUACAGAAAGAACUACUGACAUACCUAAAAAGAGCUUUAACAUCAAAGGUAAUUUGUACUGGCUGAGCGUCCUGGCUUUGGAACAUUGUGAUCUAGCGAUGUGCCUCUGGGCAUGGGUUCAUCACUGGAGAAAUGAAAGUUAGAAGAGAAGACAAGGGUGCUCACCCUCUCAAAGAGUGGUAAAGAUUAAGUUAAAAAAUACUAUAUCACAAAAAAAUAGGUGAUAUAGUAGUUGUCCCAGGCGGUCCUGACCACUUUUAUAACAAAAGGAGGCGUGUCCAUCAGCGCACACCAUCUCAAAUACAUGCACAUACUGAACUUUGGGCUAAGUCAAGACAACGCCCUUUGUCGAAAAAGGAAGCAGCUGUCUCCAAAUAUAAAGAGGGCUGCAGGGGCCUGGUCUCUGCAUCUUCCAACUCUACAGCAGGGCCUGGAGAGACGAAGGCGAAGCAAACUAGAAGUGCUCGCUCGGCCCUGGUCGCCGGAGGACACAGGUUCUAGACCUGAAUUUAGGGUCGCAGACUUGCGGUGCUAACGCCUGAGGGUUCCCAGGGUUUCCCGCUCGCUUUCACAGACCACCACAAGCUUAAGACCGAGAAUCACUUCCCAGGAUGGCCUGGGAUACUCAGUGAUGAACCCACGGUGACCUGGUGCUUCCUGCCCCGAGACCUGACAGCCUCAACACUCUGGGUAAAGUAAAUUAAAAACCCGGACAACUGGAGUCUUUGAGAAUGAAAACGACAUCGGGAUUCCAGACAGCUGACUCGCUCAGAGCUCCAACUGGGUGUACGCACGGCGAGUAAAGCCAACUCCUACAACGACACGUCACCGUGCUGGGCCGCUUCUUGGCUGGUGGGCGGGGCGACCCCUACUUCCGGAUCCGGCCUCUUCUGGGUAACGCCUCACCUGCGGUUCCCUAGGUUACCUGAUGGCGGGAGGGGGCGGGGUGGGCGGGGGCGGGGCGAAGCUUUCCAACUCUGGGUAGCCAGCUCCUGGUUGGUGAGGCUCUUCCCGACUAGAUUAAAGGGAAAAACGCAACUUUUUUCAGACUACUGAUAACUCUGACUGGAGCAAAACCUGAGGAAUAUGUUUUUUUUCUAUGUUCCACACGGCAUUUGACAAUUCGGAGAAGCUGAGGAAAGAGAGGGCUUUUUUGUUUGUUUUUUUUUCCAACAGGGUAGAGAAACCUGGCUGUCCUGGAACUCACGCUGUAGACCAGGAUGGCCUCGAACUCAGUAAUCCACCUGCCUCUGCCUCCCAAGUGCUGGGAUUAAAGGCGUGCGCCACCACUGCCCAGCGAAAAGGGCUUCUUUGGUUUGGUUUGAUUUUUGUUUUGUUUUUUUUGUUAACCAUGGAUAUGGAUGACGAAAACGGUCAGAUGAGCAAUGAACAAUUCAAUAUACGCUGACCUUUAUACUCAAAAUGGUUAAGAUGAUAAAUUUUAUUAUGU
ensembl:processed_transcript A330035P11Rik RIKEN cDNA A330035P11 gene